rnacentral:rRNA from 1 species
UACGUAGGGGGCAAGCGUUAUCCGGAUUUACUGGGUGUAAAGGGAGCGUAGACGGCAUUGCAAGUCUGAUGUGAAAGAUUGGGGCUCAACCCCAGGCCUGCAUUGGAAACUGUAAAGCUGGAGUACAGGAGAGGUAAGCGGAAUUCCUAGUGUAGCGGUGAAAUGCGUAGAUAUUAGGAGGAACACCAGUGGCGAAGGCGGCUUACUGGACUGUAACUGACGUUGAGGCUCGAAAGCGUGGGGAGCAAACAGG